AUUUCAGCAAUUUUGUUAAAAAAAAGGGUAAAAACUUUGUUUUCUCUCUAGCUUCCACUGGGCAUUGCCCAGAUUUCGGCGUGGGGAUCGCCGUCGGCCGCUGCGCUCCGGCCACCGUACGCGGUGGCCGAAAAAUUCGAAAAGGUAAAAAAAUUCACUUUUUUUUGUAUUUUCCGUAAAUAUAAACUAUUAUAUAUACAUGUAUAUAUGUGAUUGAAUAAAAACGAAAGAAAUAAAAAGAAUCCGAAAACAGGAAUAAAAAGGAAAAGAAGAACACCUUUUUUUUAUUUUUUUGAGAUUCUUGUAUUGAUUUCUCAAUAUAUUUUUUGUUUUUUUACAUUUGUUCCUCCCUUUUUACAAUGCAACACAUUCGGCUUUAUAGCCGAAAGAAAAGAAAAAAAGAUCUAAGAAAAUCUCUCAUUGCUACUGUUUUCUUCUACUUUGCGUGUUUCUUUUCUCUUUGCAGGGAGUUGUUGGCGCGGCAGGGAGGAGGCCGUACGGUGGCAGACGAUAGGUGGUGCGGCGCCAGAGAUUAGGAGGCUUGGGUUUCUCUUUUUUUUGUUUAGGUUGUGGGCUGUUAGGGUUAGAUUUAGGUGGGUUGGGAUUUGGGUCUUUAUUGGGCCAUCUGAUUUGGGUUUGUAAUUGGGUUUGUUUGCCUGGGUCUAGGUUUGGCAUGGGUUAAGUGUUUUGGGUAUUGGGUUAAAAUUUUGGUAAUGGGCUGGCGAUUUUGAGCUUGUUGUUUUGGACCUUAAGGACUGUAAUUUGGACUUUUAUUUUGAGUUUAAUUGGGCCCCGGGCAAAAUGGCCUGCAACA
rnacentral:lncRNA from 1 species